GUGAACCUGCGGAGGGAUCAUUACAAGUGACCCCGGUCUAACCACCGGGAUGUUCAUAACCCUUUGUUGUCCGACUCUGUUGCCUCCGGGGCGACCCUGCCUUCGGGCGGGGGCUCCGGGUGGACACUUCAAACUCUUGUGUAACUUUGCAGUCUGAGUAAACUUAAUUAAUAAAUUAAAACUUUUAACAACGGAUCUCUUGGUUCUGGCAUCGAUGAAGAACGCAGCGAAAUGCGAUAAGUAAUGUGAAUUGCAGAAUUCAGUGAAUCAUCGAAUCUUUGAACGCACAUUGCGCCCCCUGGUAUUCCGGGGGGCAUGCCUGUUCGAGCGUCAUUUCACCACUCAAGCCUCGCUUGGUAUUGGGCAACGCGGUCCGCCGCGUGCCUCAAAUCGACCGGCUGGGUCUUCUGUCCCCUAAGCGUUGUGGAAACUAUUCGCUAAAGGGUGUUCGGGAGGCUACGCCGUAAAACAACCCCAUUUCUAAGGUGACCUCGG
rnacentral:sRNA from 1 species